AGUGAAGGUUGGUGUAUCCCUAUAAUAAGAACAUCUCAUCUCUCUCUGAAGCUCCGUUUAGUUCCUGUUGUAGCUCGGUGAAAGUGGAGUCAAUGUGCAGAGCAGCAGUUUAAAUCGAAUUACUUAUUUUUGUCUCACUUUUCUUACCGCAGUUUGGUGAACUCGAAUGAAUGAUAAACCCUGUAGUGUUAAAAUUAAGGAAAAACUCGAAGAACAAAUGAGCUCUUGUUGUCGGCUAAUUCAGGAUUAUUUAUGAUUGCAGUGUACUUUGUGGUCCAUGAUUCUAGGGUGAGAAGGUGAAUUGGAGAAGACUGAAGUUUGUAUAUCCCUCACUAUGCUCUGUUCUUUGUAAUGGCUAAAUGUUUAUUGUAGAUGAGUAACUUUUUAUACUGUAUUGUAACAUUUUAUGUGGAUGCAAGCAAAAACUGAACAAUCCUGUUUGAGUUUAUCUACACAAUAAAUAAACUAAACCUAUUUGCUUGUGUUUUUUUUGUUUUUUUGUUAGUGUUUUAUUGAAUAUGUAAGCACUGUAUCUGAACCUGUAGAGCCCCUUCAUGGCUCAACAGGUCAAGCAGCAGUGCAACAGUAAAAGCUUGUUAUAACUGGAGCCUCUUGGAUUAUUCCCCAAGUUGCUCUUUUAAAAGCAAUCGACAAAUUUUGUAUGUUUAUGCAUUGUUCCACCAUUAAAGGGGUGUUGGAUGAGGGUAAUAAUGGAUCUGAGUAAGGGGUCCACAAAGUAUAUUGAUAUUCCAUUUUAUCAUGACAACAUAGUUGAAUUAGUUGAAGAGAGCAGAUUUCACCAAACUUGCAGCAAAAUUUGCGGGAGCUUGCUUUUCGUACUGCUGCAUUUGUGGGAGUAUGAAUGGAAGUCAGUGGAACAAAAAGGGUAGUAGGACUUGUUGUUGAAAUCCUUUAAAACUGCCAGAGAAGGUGAACUGGAAGAGACUGAGGUUUGUAUGUUCUUCACUAUGUUCUGAGUUACUUUAUACUGUAUUGUAAAAUUUUGUGGAUGUAAGCAAAAUUGAACAAUCCUGUUUGAGAUUCUCUGCACAAUAAAUAAAAGAAACAUUUUGUGUGACUUGUUACAGUGUUUUUAUUAUUAAAUGUGUAUAUAAGUACGCACUGUAUCUGAACCUGUAGAGCCCCUUCAUGGCUCAACAGGUAAAGCAACAGUGCAACAGUAAAAGCUUGUUAUAACUGGAGUAUCUUAGAUUUUCCCCUAAGUUGCUCUUUUAAAAGCAGUCAACAACUUUUUUUUGUAUGGUAUGUUUAUGCAUUGUUCCACUAUUAUUCCACUAUAUAAAUGGGUGUUGAAUGGGGCUAAUAGUGGUUCUGAGUAAGGGGGCCAUAUUGAUAAUCCAUUUUAUCAUUACAACAUAGUUGAAUUUAAGUGCAGAUUUCACCAAACUUGCAGGAAAAUUUGCAGGAGCUUGUCGCUGGAGCAGUACCUUUAAAACAGUGGUUCUUAAUCCUGGUCCUAUACAUUUGGCAUGUUUCCCUUAUUGAACACACCUGAUCGAGACCAUCAGCUCAUUAGGAGAGAGAUCCAUGAACUGAACUAACGAGCUGAUGAUCUCAAGCAGGUGUGUUAAGGGAUACAUGCAAAAUGUGAAGAGCAGGGCCCCCAGGACUGGACUUAAGAACCGCUGCCUUAAAAGGACAUUUUUUUUUUUUUUUACCCAUAAAAGGUACAUAUUAUGUAUCUAUUAGGGGUAAAAAGAGGUACAGAGAUGUCCUUUUAGUGGUACUGCUCCAGUGACAGUCUGUUGUACCCCAAAAGGUACAAUUUUGACCCCUUAUUUUUCUGUGUAUAAUGACCAAGUGUUUCUUUCUAGAAAAAUCUGAGUUAAUAAACAUAGGGUGCGUAUUUGCUUGUGUAUCAUUUUUUGCAGUGUUACAAUAUAUACAAGCACUGUCUUUGAACAUGUGGAGCCUCUUCAU